rnacentral:rRNA from 1 species
GACGAACGCUGGCGGCGUGCUUAACACAUGCAAGUCGAACGAAGUGGCGAACGGGUGAGUAACGCGUAAUCAACCUGCCCUUCAGAGGGGGACAACAGUUGGAAACGACUGCUAAUACCGCAUACUGAAGGGGGGGUUUGCGUCUGAUUAGCUAGUUGGGGGGGUAACGGCCCACCAAGGCGAUGAUCAGUAGCCUGUCUUAGGAGGUGAACGGCCACAAUGGGACUGGGGCAAGGCCCAAACUCCUGCGGGAGGCAGCAGGUGGGAAACAUCCGAAAUGGACGAAAGGCUGACGGAGCAAAGCCGCGUGAGAGAUAACGGCCUUCGGGUUGGAAAGCUCUGUUAAGCGGGACGCGGUACCGGAAUAGAAAGCCACGGCUAACUACGUGCCAGCCGCCGCGGUAAUUC